CCUACGGGAGGCAGCAGUGGGGAAUAUUGGACAAUGGGCGCAAGCCUGAUCCAGCCAUGCCGCGUGUGUGAAGAAGGCCUUCGGGUUGUAAAGCACUUUUAUCCGGAAAGAAAAGCUUUGGGUUAAUACCCUGAAGUCAUGACGGUACCGGAAGAAUAAGCACCGGCUAACUUCGUGCCAGCAGCCGCGGUAAUACGAAGGGUGCAAGCGUUACUCGGAAUUACUGGGCGUAAAGCGUGCGUAGGUGGUUUGUUAAGUCUGAUGUGAAAGCCCUAGGCUCAACCUGGGAAUUGCAUUGGAUACUGGCAGGCUAGAGUGCGGUAGAGGAUAGUGGAAUUCCCGGUGUAGCAGUGAAAUGCGUAGAGAUCGGGAGGAACAUCUGUGGCGAAGGCGACUAUCUGGGCCAGCACUGACACUGAGGCACGAAAGCGUGGGGAGCAAACAGGAUUAGAUACCCUGGUAGUCCACGACCUAACGAUGCGACUAGAUGUUGGUGCACUAGCACUCAGUAGUGAG
rnacentral:rRNA from 1 species